rnacentral:rRNA from 1 species
UUAGCAUGGAAUAAUUUAAUAGGACGUGUGGUUCUAGUUACUCGGUCUUUAGGACUGCGGUACAUGAUUAAUAGGGACAGUCGGGGGCAUCAGUAUUCACCAGUCAGAGGUGAAGCUUCACGAUCUAGUGAUGACUCAUUACUGUGAGAGCAUACGCCACGGAUGUUUUCAAGAAUCAUAAGACAAACUUAGGGGAUCGAAGACGAUCAGAUACUGUCGUAGUGUUAACCAUAAAAUAGGACGAAUAGGGAUCGGUCGGUGCUAUUUUUAAGACCGUUCGGCACCCUCCGAUAAAUCAAACAAGAAAGACUUCUGGGGGAGUAUGGUCCGCAAGGUGAAACUUAAAGAAAUUGACGGAAGGGCACCACCAGGGGUGGAGCAGGCUCCAUAAUUUGACUCAACACGGGGAAACUCACCAGGUCCAGACACGAUGAGGAUUGACAGAUUGAGAGCUCUUUAAUGAUUUUGUGGGUGGCGGUGCACGGCCUCUGUCAGUAGGUGGAGUGAUUCGUAUGGUUAAUUGACAUAACGAACGAGACGAUAACGGGCUAAAUAGCCUGUCUUUCUUACGCAGUACGCCGGUUUCUUAGAGGGAAAAUCGGUUCAAGCCGAUGGAAGUUCGAGGCAAUAUCAGGUCUGUGAUCCCGAUAGAUGCUUUGGGCCGCACGCGCGGAACACUGACAGAGCCAGCGAGUACUCCCUUGGCCGGAAGGCCCAGGUAAUCUAAUAAACUCGGUAGUGUAGGGGAUAGAGCCAUGCAAU